GAAUGCUGACAUAAGUAACGAUAAAGCGGGUGAAAAGCCCGCUCGCCGGAAGACCAAGGGUUCCUGUCCAACGUUAAUCGGGGCAGGGUGAGUCGACCCCUAAGGCGAGGCCGAAAGGCGUAGUCGAUGGGAAACGGGUUAAUAUUCCCGUACUUGGUGUUACUGCGAAGGGGGGACGGAGAAGGCUAUGUUGGCCGGGCGACGGUUGUCCCGGUUUAAGCGUGUAGGUGUGUGUUCCAGGUAAAUCCGGUUCACUUUAACACUGAGGCGUGACGACGAGGCACUACGGUGCUGAAGCAACAAAUGCCCUGCUUCCAGGAAAAGCCUCUAAGCAUCAGGUAACAUCAAAUCGUACCCCAAACCGACACAGGUGGUCAGGUAGAGAAUACCAAGGCGCUUGAGAGAACUCGGGUGAAGGAACUAGGCAAAAUGGUGCCGUAACUUCGGGAGAAGGCACGCUGACACGUAGGUGAAGUGAUUUACUCAUGGAGCUGAAGUCAGUCGAAGAUACCAGCUGGCUGCAACUGUUUAUUAAAAACACAGCACUGUGCAAACACGAAAGUGGACGUAUACGGUGUGACGCCUGCCCGGUGCCGGAAGGUUAAUUGAUGGGGUCAGCGCAAG
rnacentral:rRNA from 1 species